rnacentral:rRNA from 1 species
AUAUAUAUAGGCCGAAGUACAUGAUUCCAUGCUUCCAAGAAAAGCAUCUAGAGAGAGAAGUAGUGCCCGUACCGCAAACCGACACAGGUAGAUGAGGAGAGAAUCCUAAGGCCGGCGGAAGAAUUGCAGUUAAGGAACUAGGCAAAUUGACCCCGUAAGUUCGCGAGAAGGGGUGCCUGCGAGAGCAGGCCGCAGAGAAUAGGCCCAAGCAACUGUUUAGCAAAAACACAGGUCUCUGCUAAAGCGUAAGCUGAUGUAUAGGGGCUGACGCCUGCCCGGUGCUGGAAGGUUAAGGGGAACACUUAGCGCAAGCGAAGGUGUGAACUUAAGCCCCAGUAAACGGCGGCCGUAACAAUAACGGUCCUAAGGUAGCGAAAUUCCUUGUCAGGUAAGUUCUGACCCGCACGAAUGGCGUAAUGACUUGGGCACUGUCUCAACUGCAAAUCCGGCGAAGUUGUAGUGCGAGUGAAGAUGCUCGCUACCCGCGAUUGGACGGAAAGACCCCGUAGAGCUUUACUGUAGCUUAGCAUUGAAUUCCGGUAUUGUCUGUACAGGAUAGGUGGGAGACUGGGAAGCUAGGGCGUCAGCCUUAGUGGAGUCAACCUUGGGAUACCACCCUGACAGUACUGGGGUUCUAACAGGACGCCAUGAAUCUGGUGACUGGACAUUGUUAGGUGGGCAGUUUGACUGGGGCGGUCGCCUCCUAAAAAGUAACGGAGGCGCCCAAAGGUUCCCUCAGAACGGUCGGAAAUCGUUCGUAGAGUGCAAAGGCAGAAGGGAGCCUGACUGCGAGACAUACAAGUCGAGCAGGGACGAAAGUCGGGCUUAGUGAUCCGGUGGUACCUCGUGGGAGGGCCAUCGCUCAACGGAUAAAAGCUACCUCGGGGAUAACAGGCUGAUCUCCCCCAAGAGUCCACAUCGACGGGGAGGUUUGGCACCUCGAUGUCGGCUCGUCGCAUCCUGGGGCUGUAGUAGGUCCCAAGGGUUGGGCUGUUCGCCCAUUAAAGCGGCACGCGAGCUGGGUUCAGAACGUCGUGAGACAGUUCGGUCCCUAUCCGUCGCGGGCGUAGGAAAUUUGAGAGGAGCUGUCCUUAGUACGAGAGGACCGGGAUGGACUGACCUCUGGUGCACCAGUUGUUCCGCCAGGAGCAUGGCUGGGUAGCUAAGUCGGGAAGGGAUAAACGCUGAAAGCAUCUAAGCGUGAAGCCUCCCUCAAGAUGAGAUUUCCCAUAGCAUAAGCUAGUAAGACCCCUUGAAGAACACAAGGUUGAUAGGUCAGAGGUGUAAGUGCGGUAACGUAUUUAGCUGACUGAUACUAAUAGGUCGAGGGCUUGAUC